GACGAACGCUGGCGGCGUGCCUAAUACAUGCAAGUAGAACGCUGAAGGAGGAGCUUGCUUCUCUGGAUGAGUUGCGAACGGGUGAGUAACGCGUAGGUAACCUGCCUGGUAGCGGGGGAUAACUAUUGGAAACGAUAGCUAAUACCGCAUAAGAGUAGAUGUUUCAUGACAUUUGCUUAAAAGGUGCAAUUGCAUCACUACCAGAUGGACCUGCGUUGUAUUAGCUAGUUGGUGGGGUAACGUCUCACCAAGACGACGAUACAUAGCCGACCUGAGAGGGUGAUCGGCCACACUGGGACUGGGACACGGCCCAGACUCCUACGGGAGGCAGCAGUAGGGAAUCUUCGGCAAUGGACGGAAGUCUGACCGAGCAACGCCGCGUGAGUGAAGAAGGUUUUCGGAUCGUAAAGCUCUGUUGUAAGAGAAGAACGAGUGUGAGAGUGGAAAGUUCACACUGUGACGGUAUCUUACCAGAAAGGGACGGAUAACUACGUG
rnacentral:rRNA from 1 species